UUGACGGAGAGUUUGAUCCUGGCUCAGGGUUAACGCUGGCGGUGCGCAUAACACAUGCAAGUCGAGCGAGGGCUUAUUUCCCGCAAGGGAGAUGAGUUCCUAGCGGCGAACGGGUGAGUAACACGUGGGCAACCUUUCCUAUCGCGGGGGAUAACAGCGGGAAACCGCUGCUAAUACCGCAUGUAGUCACCGGUCGCAUGGCCG
rnacentral:rRNA from 1 species